rnacentral:lncRNA from 1 species
CUAGCCCAUAGCCAUGCGAGCGUAUGCGUAGGGCAGCUCCUGUCCUGCCUCCGCAUGGGUCAAAACCUCUGGUAGCGCUGCCGCACGGGCGAUAGAUCCAACCCGAUCACGUGAGGGCGAGGUCCCGAUGCGAGCAUAGGAAAGGACGAGGUCCUUACCAAAGGAAAGGAGGAAAGAAGAAGAAGAAAAAAGAAGAAACAAAGAAGAGCUUGAC